rnacentral:misc_RNA from 1 species
AAAAUAAUCCUACCCUUUGUGAAUUUUGUUUGUUUGAAUAAUUUUUUUUUUUAAAAAAUUAUUGGAGUCUUUCCCUUUAAGUUUGCUUUUGAGUUUGUAAAAGAAUUCGAAAACAUCUAAAGGGGAUGGUCAAUAAUUUUUUUGAAAAAAGACAUUUUUUAAAAUUAAACUUUUUGUAUUCAUUUGUCUAAAAAUUAUUUUUAUAAUAUAAAAACAACUUUUGGCAAUGGAUCUCUUGGUUCUCGCAACGAUGAAGAACGCAGCAAAAUGCGAUAAGUAGUGUGAAUUGCAGAAUACGUGAAUCAUCGAAUCUUUGAACGCAUAUUGCACUUUUUUAGUUUACUAAAAAAGUAUGUCUGUUUGAGUAUCAGUAAAAUAUUCUCAUAAAAAUCAUUGUGUAUUUUUAUGGUUAUGAGUGUUUUACAACGAUACAAGUUGUUUCACUUUAAAUUUUUUUUUAAUAUUGAAAUUUUUCUAAUUUUAAUAAUUAAAAUUGGAUAAAAUUUUCCCGUCAAAAGGAAUAACCUAAACAAUUUUAAAUGAUUAAUUUUAGCAAAAUUUUCGAAAAAAAGGAAAAUUUUUAUUAAAAUAACUUGAUCUCAAAUCAGAUAAGAGUACCCGCUGAACUUAAGCAUAUCAAUAAGCGGAGGAAAAGAAACUAACAAGGAUUCCCUUAGUAACGGCGAGUGAAGCGGGAAGAGCUCAAAUUUGAAAUCUUCAAGGUUUUACCUUGACGAAUUGUAGUUUAAAGAAGUGUUUUCUGCUGAAGUUUUGGUAAAAGUUCUUUGGAAUAGGACAUCAUAGAGGGUGAGAAUCCCGUAUUUGACCAUUAUUUUCAGCUUUGUGAUACACUUUCAAAGAGUCGGAUUGUUUGGGAAUGCAGUCCAAAAUGGGUGGUAAAUUUCAUCUAAAGCUAAAUAUUGGCGAGAGACCGAUAGCGAACAAGUACCGUGAGGGAAAGAUGAAAAGAACUUUGAAAAGAGAGUUAAACAGUAUGUGAAAUUGUCAAAAGGGAAGCGUUUGACACCAGUGUUGUUUUCUCGAAAAUCAAUUAAAAAUGGCUCGAUUUUGUAUUGCUGAGACCUUAAAAGCUCACUGUACAUUUUUCGUGUCUUUUUUAAUGCACUUUUCGUUUAACAAGUCAACAUCAGUUUCUUUUGUUGUAAAAGGGUCAUUGGAAGGUGGCUUUCUUUUCGGAGAAAGUGUUUAUAGCCUUUGGCCUCUGCAAUCGGAGAGACUGAGGUCUGCAGCGUAGACUCUUCGGGUUAGAUACAUUUGUGCUAAGUUAUAGCUUUUUAUAGACAACUUGUUGACUAUAAUUAGUCUUGUAGCUUACUCGCUUAUG